rfam:Mesotoga prima MesG1.Ag.4.2, complete genome.
CUGGGUGAAGAUACCGGGGCGGGAAACACCCGGCUCCAUACCGAACCCGGCAGUUAAGCCGUCUCGGGCCGAUGGUAGUAUGUGGGCAACUGCAUGCGAGAGUAGGUAUCGCCCAGA